UAUCUGGAACUGUUCCCAAUACCAAACUCUCCGAAGGAAGUUCACCUUUAGAGUCCGUAGAGUCCAUUUUUGGGAUUGGUACAGAUACAGCAUUCUUGGGUUGGGAUGGAGGAUGAGUAGUGGCUUGCUGUGGUGCAAUAGUGCUUUCGAUUACAGUGAUAUCGUUAGAAGAAGCCAAAUCAAUAGACUGUUUCCAUUUCAGGUAUUCAUAAAAGCAAGAGACGCAAGAACGGUAUAAAGAGCCAGCAAGACAAAACUUGACAUCCAUAGUGAGGGGAAUGUUACGAUCGCAAUGAAGAGCGCAGAAUAUAUCUCCACAUCGACGACAAUGAUGCCUUCUAUCAAAAAGGCCGAAACGAACUGAGCAGGAGGGAAAAGAACAGACCGAGACAUCGGAAUCUGGUUUCCAGUGGUCUUUGGAAAUUCCGGUCUCUCUGGACGAUUGAUAAUUGAGAGAGGUAGCUACGGAAGAAUUGGUAGAGGUAGGACUAACUGAAUAAGACAUUGCUUGAUAAGAGGCAGUGCGAGAACUGGCAGCAAGUUUUGAUGAGGCAUAAGGUUUACUGAGACGCGGAUUGCCAGAGUAAGAGCGGAAGAGUUCGGGACGCUCUUUUCUAGUUAUGGAAGAAUAUAGUUGGGGGUUGGUAUGGGAAGGUAAAGAACCUUGAUUAGCGGGAGUACUAUUGCUAGAAGAGUUAGGGGAGCCAGAAACAGAACCAGUGCCAUUGGUAGCUUGUCUGGUAGGAGCUUCGAUGAGUUCGUAAGACGGACGCACCCGUUGAGUGUAAGGAGAGGCACCAGAAUAAAUGUUUAAACGCGACAAAGGACCAUGUCCAGACAAUUGGUGAACAGUUGUCAUGAUGAAAAAAAGUAAAAAUGCAAGUGACAAUUCUCAAUUGAAGAGAAGAGAAGAGAGAAAAUAAAAGAAUAGGGUAGGAUAGGUUAGGAUAUGUAGUUAAGUAUG